AACGAACGCUGGCGGCAGGCUUAACACAUGCAAGUCGAGCGCCCCGCAAGGGGAGCGGCAGACGGGUGAGUAACGCGUGGGAACAUACCCUUUAGUACGGAAUAGCCUCGGGAAACUGGGAUUAAUACCGUAUACGCCCUACGGGGAAAGGAUUAUCGCUAAAGGAUUGGCCCGCGUUGGAUUAGCUAGUUGGUGAGGUAAUGGCUCACCAAGGCGACGAUCUAUAGCUGGUCUGAGAGGAUGAUCAGCCACACUGGGACUGAGACACGGCCCAGACUCCUACGGGAGGCAGCAGUGGGGAAUAUUGGACAAUGGGCGAAAGCCUGAUCCAGCCAUGCCGCGUGAGUGAUGAAGGCCCUAGGGUUGUAAAGCUCUUUCGCUAGAGAAGAUAAUGACGGUAUCUAGUAAAGAAGCCCCGGCUAACUUCGUGCCAGCAGCCGCGG
rnacentral:rRNA from 1 species